UACGUAGGCAGCGAGCGUUGUUCGGAGUUACUGGGCGUAAAGGGUGUGUAGGCGGUUCUUUUAAGUUUGGUGUGAAAUCUCCCGGCUCAACCGGGAGGGUGCGUCGAAUACUGAGGGACUAGAGUGCGGGAGAGGAAAGUGGAAUUCCUGGUGUAGCGGUGAAAUGCGUAGAUAUCAGGAGGAACACCGGUGGUGUAGACGGCUUUCUGGACCGUAACUGACGCUGAGACACGAAAGCGUGGGUAGCAAACAGG
rnacentral:rRNA from 1 species